rnacentral:rRNA from 1 species
GAUGAACGCUGGCGGCGUGCUUAAGACAUGCAAGUCGAACGGAGUGUGUAGCAAUACUCACUAAGUGGCGAAUGGGUGAGUAACACGUAGGUGACCUGCCCUGAAGUGCGGAAUAACAGUCCGAAAGGAUUGCUAAUACCGCAUGUGGUCCCGGGCGUUAGAGAACCGGGUCUAAAGCAGUAAUGCGCUUCAGGAGGGGCCUGCGGUCCAUCAGCUAGUUGGUAGGGAAUGGCCUACCAAGGCAACGACGGAUAGGGGACCUGAGAGGGUCGGCCCCG